ACUUGAAAGAUGGGCGUCAGACUUGCAUACGCAGCAGAUCAGCAUCCUUCGCUGCCCCUUAGCAACUUAGGUGGUUGAUUUGAAACUGUGAAGGUGUGAUUUUUUCAGGAGCUGGAAGUCUUAGAAAAGCCUUGUAAAUGCCUAUAUUGUGGGCUUUUAACGUAUUUAAGGGACCACUUAAGACGAGAUUAGAUGGGCUCUUCUGGAUUUGUUCCUCAUUUGUCACAGGUGUCUUGUGAUUGAAAAUCAUGAGCGAAGUGAAAUUGCAUUGAAUUUCAAGGGAAUUUAGUAUGUAAAUCGUGCCUUAGAAACACAUCUGUUGUCUUUUCUGUGUUUGGUCGAUAUUAAUAAUGGCAAAAUUUUUGCCUAUCUAGUAUCUUCAAAUUGUAGUCUUUGUAACAACCAAAUAACCUUUUGUGGUCACUGUAAAAUUAAUAUUUGGUAGACAGAAUCCAUGUACCUUUGCUAAGGUUAGAAUGAAUAAUUUAUUGUAUUUUUAAUUUGAAUGUUUGUGCUUUUUAAAUGAGCCAAGACUAGAGGGGAAACUAUCACCUAAAAUCAGUUUGGAAAACAAGACCUAAAAAGGGAAGGGGAUGGGGAUUGUGGGGAGAGAGUGGGCGAGGUGCCUUUACUACAUGUGUGAUCUGAAAACCCUGCUUGGUUCUGAGCUGCGUCUAUUGAAUUGGUAAAGUAAUACCAAUGGCUUUUUAUCAUUUCCUUCUUCCCUUUAAGUUUCACUUGAAAUUUUAAAAAUCAUGGUUAUUUUUAUCGUUGGGAUCUUUCUGUCUUCUGGGUUCCAUUUUUUAAAUGUUUAAAAAUAUGUUGACAUGGUAGUUCAGUUCUUAACCAAUGACUUGGGGAUGAUGCAAACAAUUACUGUCGUUGGGAUUUAGAGUGUAUUAGUCACGCAUGUAUGGGGAAGUAGUCUCGGGUAUGCUGUUGUGAAAUUGAAACUGUAAAAGUAGAUGGUUGAAAG
rnacentral:lncRNA from 1 species